CCCUAGCCCUGAUGGCAGCGGAAAUCCUUUUUUGUAGCGCAGCGGAGAAAAAGAUUAUAGCGAACAGCAGGAAAAAGC
rnacentral:sRNA from 1 species